GCGGCCGCUCCGUUUGAUCCUGCCGGAGGUCACUGCUAUCGGUGUUCGAUUAAGCCAUGCGAGUCGAGAGGGGUCAUGCCCUCGGCGGACUGCUCAGUAACACGUGGACAACUUACCCAAAAGUCCGGGAUAACCCCGGGAAACUGGGGAUAAUACCGGAUAGAUCAUCUGUGCUGGAAGGCUGGGUGGUUGAAACUUCCGGGGCUUUUGGAUGGGUCUGCGGCUGAUCAGGUUGUUGCCGUGUAACGUACCGUCAAGCCUGUAAUCAGUACGGGUUGUGGGAGCAAGAGCCCGGAGAUGGAUUCUGAGACACGAAUCCAGGCCCUACGGGGCGCAGCAGGCGCGAAAACUCUACAAUGCAGGCAACUGCGAUAGGGGAACAUCGAGUGGUCCUCAUAUUGGGGGCCUGUCCCCCCGCCUAAAAAGCGGGGGUUAGCAAGGGCCGGGCAAGACCGGUGCCAGCCGCCGCGGUAAUACCGGCGGCUCGAGUGGUGGCCGAUAUUAUUGAGUCUAAAGGGUCCGUAGCCGGCUUUGCAAGUCUCUCGGGAAAUCCAGCGGCUUAACCGUAGGUCGUCCGGGGGGUACUACCUUGCUUGGGACUGGGAGAGGUAGGAGGUACUCAGGGGGUAGGAGUGAAAUCCUGUAAUCCUUUGGGGACCACCGGUGGCGAAGGCGUCCUACCAGAACAGGUCCGACGGUGAGGGACGAAAGCUAGGGGCACGAACCGGAUUAGAUACCCGGGUAGUCCUAGCCGUAAACGAUACUCGCUAGGUGUCGGCCACGGUGCGACCGUUGUCGGUGCCGAAGGGAAGCCGUGAAGCGAGCCACCUGGGAAGUACGGCCGCAAGGCUGAAACUUAAAGGAAUUGGCGGGGGAGCACCACAACGGGUGGAGCUUGCGGUUUAAUUGGAUUCAACGCCGGAAAUCUUACCGGGACCGACAGCAAUAUGAAGGCCAGGCUGAAGACUUUGCCGGAUUAGCUGAGAGGUGGUGCAUGGCCGUCGUCAGUUCGUACUGUGAAGCAUCCUGUUAAGUCAGGCAACGAGCGAGACCC
rnacentral:rRNA from 1 species